GUGAGGAAUAUUGGUCAAUGGGCGGGAGCCUGAACCAGCCAAGUCGCGUGAAGGAAGAAGGAUCUAUGGUUCGUAAACUUCUUUUGCAGGGGAAUAAAGUGCAGGACGUGUCCUGUUUUGUAUGUACCCUGAGAAUAAGGAUCGGCUAACUCCGUGCCAGCAGCCGCGGUAAUACGGAGGAUCCGAGCGUUAUCCGGAUUUAUUGGGUUUAAAGGGUGCGUCGGGGGUUUGAUAAGUCAGCGGUGAAAGUUUGCAGCUUAACUGUAAAAAUGCCGUUGAAACUGUCGGACUUGAGUGUAAAUGAGGUAGGCGGAAUGCGUGGUGUAGCGGUGAAAUGCAUAGAUAUCACGCAGAACUCCGAUUGCGAAGGCAGCUUACUAAGCUACAACUGACACUGAAGCACGAAAGCGUGGGGAUCAAACAGGAUUAGAAACCCCUGUAGUCC
rnacentral:rRNA from 1 species